CGAGCUGAACGAACGUCGCGCUGGCUGCCCGUCACAAUUUGUAUACUUUAAUUUAUUUAUAAAAAAAAUCCAAAUUUGAAAAUGCAGUUUUUAAUCGUUUUUAUUUUUCUGUGCGUGGUUGUAGUUUGUGGACAGGACUGCAGAGUUCGCGGACAAUGGUGCGCAGAUCAUGAAUAUUGUUGCGGUGGAUGUUGUUUUGAUAACAUUUGUUACGACACUUACAGAUCCUGCUUGGCUCCCUUUGACGUUUGCAAAGACUAUACCUGCAGGGGAGAGGAAAAUUGUUUCGUUUACAAGCCCCCGGAAUGUCGUGGCUGUGAGCCCCUACCUUUAUGCAGAUUGGAAGAGCCUUAGCGAAAAAUGUACUACGGUGAAGAAAUUGCGAUGGAAUUCACACCAUUUAUUAUAAUCUGAUCCAUGUUUCUAGUAAGAAAUCAGGAGUAUGAAAAUCAUAAGAUUGAUGAAGAUGAAUCGAUGGGAGUGAAGAAGAACAACGAUGUAAGAUACUAAGAACAAAAAGUUUGUGAGUUCGAUUUUUAACAUG